UGUGACGGCCAUAGCGUCGGGGCAACACCUGGUCUCAUCCGAACCCAGCAGUUAAGCCCGAUUGCGUUCCCCGUUGUACUGUGGUGCGCGAGCCCACGGGAAGCUCGGAAAGCUGUCAGCC
rnacentral:rRNA from 1 species